GCUCCGGUGGCCUAGUGGUUAGAGCAUCCACCUCAGAUGUGGGAGGUCAUAGGUUCAGUCCCUUGUUGAGUCA